rnacentral:sRNA from 2 species
CCCCCAAAUUUUGCAACUCUCCGUGCCCCUUCGAUCCGGAAGUCUAGCAGAAAGUAGGACUGAAUGACCCCAUAGCGUGGCCAAUCCACGCCCAGAAAGGCCCAGCAUCGGCUUGGCCUGUGGGUUGGGAACACGGCGCGAGGUAUUAAUCUCCCCCCUCCCCCCCUCUCUGCUCUGUGGAACAUCCCAUUGGGAGGAUAUCGUUAAUUUACCCUCUCGUACGGACUGAUAAUUGCGAGUGUUGGGCAUGGGAGAAUGUUCGUGGCUGGCCUUUCGAAUAUCCUUGCAAAGAUUGCAAAUGGCGUGAGCUGGUCCUUCUUCUCUCUCUAUAUCAGUCGUGGGGUCGAAUGCAUCAAUCGGAUAGGCUAGUUCUGUUGACGAUUUCUUUCUGAUUCUUUUAGGCGUUAAAUAGCGCUAAACGAUCUGUGUUUGGCUGAUUUUGAGCCACCAUUGCCAAUAAAUACCCAGGGCAUUCGAGCUCCUUUUGGGCAAAUAUUGUUAUAAAAACCUGGCCAAUAGUACCAGUAUUCCCGUAUUUCCACUAUGCCUGGGGCUCUGGAGAAAAUAAAUAUGGAAUGUUCCUUAACAGACAUCGUUGUGCUCAGAACAUCUGCUCUGGACUCCAGAGGUAAUGAUGGAUGCUAGUAGUUAUUGGCCGGCUAGCCACAAGACACCAACAGGUCAGCCACAUCGCAGGCUCAGUUAUGAUGAGCUACCAGCAGU